GCUGGAUGACCCUUGGGGUCCCUUCCAGAUAUAGAUACAUAUAUGCAGCACCAUAUGAUUCUUUGGAAUGUGCUUCAGAAAGAAGAAACAGAAGUAAGUUGUAUGAUGGCAAAGUUGCCUCACUUUAGGCUGUGACACCUAACAGUUAAAUGCUACCACCUUUUGGUACUGUGAACACCAAGGUUGCAGGGGGAUCUCCAUAAGGGACGCCUGCAUAUUCCUAAGAGCUGGAAAGUGCCACACAAAGAAGAAACAGAGAAACAUACCUCCAGGUUAGUUGUAUGAUGGCCAACCACUUCCCCUUCCUUGCCAGCUAGUUUAUUCUUUCUUGCAUAGCGAUACAAAUGAUGGAUGCCUGUUUUAUACUCCUACUCUUUCAGUUCAUCUGAAAGAAAUCAGGCCCACUUAUAUUUCUAUGUAUGGGCUGUGCUUCGUUCCUUAAUGUCAGAUUUUGUGGAUUUAUUAUCACCCAUAUGUUUCGGGCACAAGCCUAUUUACUCAUGGAAAAGGAAAGGUUGGGGGGGAAACGAGGGUUCCUGAAGUAAGUGGGCUUCCCUGCACCACUUCAGGGCAGAAGGGGGAGAUGGAGAGAACGCUCUGCCUUUAACGAAACACCUGAUUCGCCCAGCAGGGUGGCAGCCAAAGGAAAGAGAAGAAAAAGAGGCAAGGCAGCUCCCAGACAAAUGUGCAAAUGUGGGUUGCCUGUAUGGGCUCUGUUUUAUUCCUUAAUGUCGAAUGCUACAUUUGCCUACGUCCACUUCCAUCCACUGGAAAAGCUUCUUAGCAGGAAGGAGCAAAAGGAACGGUGGGAAAUACCUAGGAAUCUCUCUAAAUAGGUAAGACCGCACAGUCCCUACACCUCCACAAGGUCUGGUCCUUUCCAGAGGUGCAGCCUGCCUACUCCAAAGGUGGAUUUCAGCUCAAACAGCUGGUUGUCCCUCCAAAAAAUGGAAACCUUAGCAUUUAGUAAUGUCUUAAUGCAGUUGGGGGAGGUGUUUGUGUGUGUCAGCCCUUAAAAAUCAACUGUGCAAAGAUUUAAGACUGCCCCCCGCUUUGCACAUAGGCUGGGAGCCCCAAUGGCACAGGACUAAGUGGGCUGAGCCCCUGCAACAGGGGCCAAAACCAAAAGCCAGUUGAAUCAUUUACAUUGACAAAUACUGGCACAGAUGUAUGCAUUUUGGAAAUGUGCAGCAGUUUGUAAUGUUAAGAGAGGUGUUCUAAAGAAAAACACUUUAUACACACAUGAGCGUUCCCUUAGUGCAGGCUCAUGGUUUUUUCCUUUUCUGGAGGUAUAAAUGUUCUCAGCAGAUGUACAAUCCCCCUGAAGGCUUCAGGCCUCCUCCUGACUGUUGAAAUGCAUAUUCCUAAGAGCUGUAAAGUGCCACACAAAGAAGAACCAGAAAAACAUACCUCCCGGUUAGUUGAAUGAUGGCCAACAACUUCCCCUUCCCUGCCAGCUACUUUAUUGUGCCUGUUUUAUACUCCUAGUCUUUCAGUUCAUCUGAAAGAAAUCAGGCCCACAGGUUUGCUGUGUUCCUUAAUGUCACAUUUUGUGGAUUUAUUAUCACCCAAAUGUUUCGUGCAUAAGCCUACUUAGGCAUGGAAAACGAAAGGGUGGGGGAAAACGAGGAUUUCUGAAAUGAGUGGGCUUCCCUGCGCACACUUCAGGGCAGAAGGGGGAGAUAGAAGGAACGCUCUACCUUCUCUCCCCUAAUCUGUCUUCCCUACCUAAUCAUGGCGGACAAAGUCCCACCUCCAGCGCCUGCCCGGAAGAGGAGCAGCACCCAUACAGAGAACGGUAGGAGCCAAAUUGUCCAGGGAUCUUCUGGGUAUGAAGGGGUGAGGGUUUUCUUCACCAACAUCAGUGUGCAGUGCAUACACAACUGUAGAAACGAGUCAGAAUAAGCAGGCUUCUAAAAAGGUAUAUUCUUUAUACCUAAAAUUCCCUAAUUCCCCUAACCCCUGGGUCACAAAGUCAGUUUUGUUUUGGGACUGUCCUGUAAUGCACACCUGAGGCCGGAGAUGCAGAAAAAUCUCUUUAUGAGAUGUUUGGUACCUCUAGACAGGUGCACAACAACCUGGACAAUUUGGGGUUGGAGUAAAGAAGGCCACGGAAAGUCUAGUUUUUAACUAGGGGUCAAAGGUCAGAAAGCAGGUGGUGCCGUGGGUUAAACCACAGAGCUUAGGUCUUGCUGAUCAGAAGGUUGGCGGUUUGAAUCUGCGCGCUGGGGUGAGCUCCCUUUGCAGGUUCCCUGCUCCUGCCAACCUAGCAACUUGAAAGCACGUCAAAGUGCAAGGAGAUAAAUGGGUACCGCUCCGGCAGGAAGGUCAAUGGCGUUUCUGUGCGCUGCUCUGGUUCGCCAGAAGCGGCUUAGUCAUGCUGGCCACGUGACCCGGAAGCUGUGUGCCGGCCAUUAAAGUGAGACGUGCACUGCAACCCCAGAGUCGGCCACGACUGGACCUAAUGGUCAGGGGUCCCUUUACCUUUACGACGGCAAAGUUGCCUCACUUUAGGCUGUGACACCUAACAGUUAAAUGCUACCACCUUUUGGUACUGUGAACACCAAGGUUGCAGGGGUAUCUCCAUAAGGGACGCCUGCACAUUCCUAAGAGAUAGAAAGUGCUACACAAAGAAUAAGCAGAAAAACAUAACUCUACGUUAGUUGUAUUAUGGCCAACCACUUCUGAACAGGCUUCCCAAAAAGUAUAGUCUUUAUACCCUAAAUGCCCUAAUUCCCUUAACCCCAGGGUCAGGAAGACAGUUUUGUCUUGGGACUGCAAUGCACACCUGAGGCCGCAGGUGCAAAAAAAUCUCUUUAUGAGAUGUUUGGUACUUCUAGACAGGUGCACAACAACCUGGACAAUUUGGGGUUGGAGUAAAGAAGGCCACGGAAUAUCUAGUUUUUAACUAGGGGUCAAAGGUCAGAAAGAAGGGACACGGGUGGCGCUGUGGGUUAAACCACAGAGCCUAGGACUUGCGGAUCAGAAGGUCAGCGGUUUGAAUCCCCGCAACGGGGUGAGCUCUUGUUGCUCCGUCCCUACUCCUGCCAGCUUGCAGUUCGAAAGCACCUCAAAGUGCAAGAAGAAAAAUAGGUACCGCUUCGGCGGGAAGGUAAACGGCAUUUCCGUGCGCUGCUCUGGUUCUCCAGAAGCGGCUUAGUCAUGCUGGCCACAUGACCCAGAAGCUGUACGCCGGCUCCUUCUGUUAACAAAGUGAGGUGCACCAUGCAACCCCAGAGUCGGCCACAACAGGACCUAAUGGUCAGGGGUUGCUGUUGUAAGUCUAGCGUCAUUAUUAGGGAUGGGUUUGGGGUUAGGCUUAGGGGUCAGGGCCUCCCCCUGACUGUUGAAAUGCUCCCAGGGAGGAUGUAAGCAGAGCUUCCUCUGCUUCCAGUCAAGAAUAGUGAUGGCCAUGUUGGCUUCAUGGCUGACCUUGCAGCUGCAGGAGAGAUGUGCCACUUAAGAGAGCAACAUUUGCUGCACAACCAAGGUUGCGGGAUUGUUCCCCAUAAGGGACUUCUGCAUGUUCCUGCGAUGCAGCAGGUUGGACUGGAUGACCCUCGGGGUCCCUUCCAGAGGUUUAUAUUCCAUCAUUAUUCUUUGGAAAGGGCUUUAGAAAGAAGAAAGAGAAAUAGCGUUCCUUAAAGUUAGUUGCAGCCUAACACAGGAAAGUCGCCUCGCUUUCUGUGAGCUCCCUUAUUAUUCCUUCACAUUAAUUUGAGCUUGGCGGAUCCUGUGCCUGUUUUUACACGGACCCCUCUUUCAGGUCUAGAAAAAAUCUGCCCUCCCCCCCGUUAUUUCUCAGGUCUCUAUGGGCUGUGCUGAAUUCCUGCUCCCAAAAAGUGGAAGGAGAAGGAAGGGGGCAGUUUUGUGGGACAAAGAGAGGAAGAAGAGUGGCCAGAGGGGGAACGGGGAUCUUUUGAGAGAAGACCCAAACAGCUCUUUUAACCAAACACCUGAUUCGCCCAGCAGCGUGGCAGCGAAAGGAAAGAAGAAAAAGAGGCAAGGCAGCAGUGGAAAAAGAUGGGUUGCCUGCAUGGGCUCUGCUUUAUUCCUUAAUGUCGAAUGCUACAUCUGCCUAAGUCCACUUCCAUCCACCGGAAAAGCUUCUUAGCAGCAAGGAGCAAAGGGAACGGUGGGCAAUACCUAGCUAUUUCUCUAAAUCGGUAAGACCGCACAGUCCCUACACCUCCACAAGGCCUGGUCCUUUCCAGAGGUGCAGCCUGCCUUCUCCAAAGGUGGAUUUCAGCUCAAACAGCUGGGCGAAGUGUCUCUUUUCCUCCUCACACCCGUAACCCUGGCAACCUCCCAGAGAACAGUCUCUCUUCCUCGAUGGUCAGGGAGAUUGUAUUUUCUCACGGUCGCUCAAAAAAUUGAAACGCUAGCAUUUAGUAAUGUCUUAAUACAGUUUUGGGGGGUGUGUUUGUGUGUCAGUCCUUAAAAAUCAACUGUGCAACGAUUUAAGCCUCUCCCCUGCUGUGCACCUAGGCUGGGAGCCCCAAUGGCAGGAGACUUAAGUGGGCUGAGCCCCUGCAACAGGGGCCAAAACCAAAAGCCAAUUGAAUCAUUUACAUUGACAAAUACUGGCAUGGAUGUAUGUGUUUUGGAAGUUUGCAGCAGUUUGUAAUGCUAAGAGAGGUGUUUUAAACAAAAAACACUUUAUACACUCAUGAGCAUUCCCCUAGAACAGGCUCAUGGUUGUUUCCUUUUCUGGAGGUAUAAAUGUUCUCAGCAGAUGUACAACCCCCCUGAAGGCUUCAGGCCUCCUCCUGACUGUUGAAAUGCUCCUGGGGAGACUGUAAGCAGCACCUCCUCCGCUCCCAGUCAGCAAAAGGGGAUGGCAAGGUGUGCUUCAUGGCGCAACUUGCAGCUGCAGUUUAAAUUGCCUUAAAAGUGCCAUUUCAUAGGGCAACCAUGACAGCACAACCAAGGUUAGUGGUUAUUCUCUUGCAUAUUCCUGCCUUGCAGUGGAUUGGGCUGGAUGACCCUUGGGGUCCCUUCCAGUUAGAUAUAUACACUAUCAUAUGAUUCUUUGGAAUGUGCUUCAGAAAUAAGAACCAGAAAUAGCAUUCCUUUAAGUUAGCUGUAUGAUGGCAAAGGUGCCUCAUUUUUGGCUGUGACACCUAACAGUUAAAUGCUACCACCUUUUGGUACUGUGAACACCAAGAUUGCAGGGGAAUCUCCAUAAGGGACGCCUGCAUAUUCCUAAGAGCUGUAAAGUGCCACACAAAGAAGAAACAGAGAAACAUACCUCCAGGUUAGUUGUAUGAUGGCCAACUACUUAGUCAUGUUUUGCCACAUGACCUGGAAGCGGUACACUGGCCAAUAAAGCGAGAUGUGUGGCGCAACCCAAGAGUCGGCCACGACUGGACCUAAUGGUCAGGGGUCCCUUUACCUUUACCUUUGACAAAGGUCAGAAGUUGUAAGUCUGCUGUUGUAAGUCUAGGGGUUUGGGUUGUUAGGGUCGGGGUUCGGGAGAGGCUUGGAGUUAGGCUUAGGGGUCAGGGUCUCCCCCUGACUGUUGAAAUGCUCCCAGGGAGGAUGUAAGUAGAACUUCCUCUGUUUCCAGUCAAGAAUAGUGGAUGGCUAUGUUUGCUUCCUAAGUAGCCUUCAAAGGUUGCAGGAUUGUUCCCGUAAGGGACUCCUGCAUGUUCCUGCGAUGCAGCGGGUUGGACUGGAUGACCCUUGGGGUCCCUUCCAGAGGUUUAUAUACCAUCAUUAUUCUUUGGAAAGGGCUUCAGAAAGAAGAAAGAGAAAUAGUGUUCUUUACAGUUAGUUGUAUGAUGGGAUAGUCACUUCGCUUCCUGUAAGCGUCUUUAUUAUUCCUUCACAUUAAUUUGAGCUUGGCUGAUCCUGUGCCUGUUUUUACACGGACCCCUCUUUCAGUUCUUGAAAUAAUCCACCCCCCUGAUAUUUCUCAGGUCUCAAAGGGCUGUGCUGAAUUCCUUCUCCCAAAAAGGGGGAGGACAAGGAAGGGGGAAGUUUCGCCGGACAGAGGGAGGGAGAAGAGGGGAUCUUUUCAGACCAGAUGCCAGUGCCCCAAAAAUGCCAGUGCCAGGGCCCUCCUGAUGCUGCCUUUUGGGGCGAGAGCAGGAAAGGGGAUCUUUGGGCACAAGAUCCAAACAGCUCCUUCAACCAAACACUUGAUUCACCAGCAGCGUGGCAGCCAAAGGAAAGAGAAGAAAAAGAGGCAAGGCAGCUCCCAGACAUCUCCAUGAAGUUACAAAAGGCAGCUACAUCUGCCUAAGUGCACUUCCAUCCACUGGAAAAGAUUCUUAGCAGCAAGGAGCAAAGGGAACGGUGGGCAAUACCUAGCUAUCUCUCUAAAUCGGUAAGACCGCACAGUCCCUACACCUCCACAAGGCCUGAUCCUUUCCAGAGGUGCAGCCUGCCUUCUCCAAAGGUGGAUUUCAGUUCAAACAGCUGGGUGAAGUCUCUUUUCCUCUCCUCACACCUGUAACCCUGGCAACCUCCCAGAGAUCAGUCUCUCUUCCUUGAUGGUCAGGGAGAUUGCACUUUCCCACGGUCUGUCAAAAAAUAGAAUCCUUAGCAUUUAAUACUGUCUUAAUACAGUUUGGGGGUGGUUGUGUCAGUCCUUAAAAAUCAACUGCAAAGAUUGAAGACUGUCCCCACCGCUAUACACAUAGGCUGGGAGCCCCAAUGGCAGGAGACUAGGUGGGCUGAGCCCCUGCAAUGGGCCAAAACCAAAAGCCAGUUGAAUCAUUUACAUUUACAAAUUAUUUACAUUGAUUACAUUUACAUUGACAAAAUACUGGCAUGUAUUUGUAUGCGUUUUGGAAAUUUGCAGCCGUUUGUAAUGUUAAGAGAGGUGUUCUAAAGAUAAGCACUUUAUACAUUCAUGAACAUUCCCUUGGUGCAGGCUCAUGGUUUUUUCCUUUUCUGGAGGUAAAAAUGUUCAUAGCAGGUGUACAACCCCCCUGAAGGCUUCAGGCCUCCUCCUGACUGUUGAAAUGCUCCUGGGGAGACUGUAAGCAGCACCUCCUCCGCUCCCAGUCAGCAAAAGGGGAUGGCACGGUGUGCUUCAUGGCGCAACUUGCAGCUGCAGUUUAAAUUGCCUGAAAAGUGCCAUAUCAUAGGGAACACUGACAGCACAACCAAGGUUGGUGGUUCUCCUGCAUAUUUCUGCCUUGCAGUGGGCUGGGCUGGAUGACACUCUGGGUCCCUUCCAGAUACAGAUAUAAAUGCAGGAUUAUAUGAUUCUUUGGAAUGUGCUUGAGAAAGAAGAAACAAGUUUGUGGAGUAAACAAUGCAGCACAAACGAUGGGUGCCUCUUUUAUACCCCUACUCUUUCAGUUCAUCUGAAAGAAAUUGGGCCCACUUAUAAUUCUCUGUGCUGUGUUCCUUAAUUUUAGAUUUUGUGGAUCUAUUAUCACCCUUAUGUUUGGGGCAGAAGCCUACUUAUGCAUGGUGGGGGAACAAAAGGGUGGGGAAAAAACAAGGGUUUCUGAAAUGAGUGGGCUUCCCUGCACAUACUUCAGGUCAGAAUGGGGAGAUGGAUAGAAAGCACUGCCUUCUCCCCCCAAUCUGUCUUCCCUCCCUAAACAUGACAGGCAAGGUCUUCAUCCCACCUCCAGCGCCUACCUGGAAGAGGAGUAGCACCCAUACAGAGAACAGUAGGAGCCAAAUUGUCUUGGGAUGUUCUGGGUUUGAGGGCUGAGCGUUGAGACGGGACCCCUGUCUCCUGCACUUGAACCAGGAUCAGUCUGCGGUUUCCUUCACCAACAUCAGUGUCAGAAUAAACAGGCUUCUAAAAAAUUAUAGUCUUCCCCUAAGCCCCGGGUCAGGAAGACAGCUUUGUUUUGGGAUGCCCUGCAAUGCACAUCUUCCCAUGUUCUAAGGCCGCAGCUGGGGGAAAAAAAUCUAUGAGAUGUUUUCCCUAAUGGAAAUGGUACUUCUAGCCAGAUGUAAAACAAGCUGGACAAUUUGUGGUUGGAGUAACGAGGGCUGCGGAAAGUCUAGUUUUUAACUGGGGGGGGUCAAAGGUCAGAAAGAAGGGACACGGGUGGCGCUGUGGGUUAAACCACAGAGCCUAGGACUUGUGGAUCAGAAGGCCAGCAGUUUGAAUCCCCGCAAACGGGGUGAGCUCUUGUUGCUCCGUCCCUACUCCUGCCAGCUUGCAGUUCAAAAACACCUCAGAGUGCAAGAAGAAAAAUAGGUACCGCGUCAGCGGGAUGGUAAACGGCAUUUCCGUGCGCUGCUCUGGUUCGCCAGAAGCGGCCUAGUCAUGCUGGCCACAUGACCCAGAAGCUGUACGCCGGCUCCUUCUGUUAACAAAGUGAGGUGCACCAUGCAACCCCAGAGUUGGCCACAACAGGACCUAAUGAUCAGGGGUUGCUGUUGUAAGUCUAGCGUCAUUAUUAGGGGUGGGUUUGGGGUUAGGCUUAGGGGUCAGGGCCUCCCCCUGACGGCUGAAAUGCUCCCAGGGAGGAUGUAAGCAGAGCUUCCUCUGUUUCCAGUCAAGAAUAGUGAUGGCCACGUUGGCUUCAUGGCGGACCUUGCAGCUGCAGCUGCAGGAGAGGUGUGCCAUUUAAGAGAGCAACAUUUGCUGCACAACCAAGGUUGCAGGAUUAUUUCCCAUAAGGGACUCCUGCGAUGCAGCGGGUUGGACUGGAUGACCCUUGGGGUCCCUUCCAGAGGUUUAUAUUCCUUCAUUAUUCUUUGGAAAGGGCUUCAGAAAGAGGAAAGAGAAAUAGCAUUUAAUGUUCUUAGUAGAUGUACAAUUCCCCCCGAAGGCUUCAGGCCUCCUCCUGACUGUUGAAAUGUUCUUGGGGAGACUGUAAGCAGCACCUCCUCCACUCCCAGUCAGGAAAAGGGGAUGGCAAGGUGUGCUUCAUGGCACAACUUGCAGCUGCAGUUUAAAGUGCCUUAAAAGUGCCAUUCAAUAGGGCAACACUGAUGGCACAACCAAGCUUGGUGGUUGUUAUCCUGUAUGUUCCUGCUUUGCCAUGGACUCGGAUGGCCAUUGGGGUCCCUUCCAGAUAUAGAUGUAUACACCAUUGUAGGAUUCUUUUGGAAUGUGCUUCAGAAAGAAGACACAAGUUUGUGGAAUAAACGAUGCAGCAGAAACGAUGGGUGCCUGUUUUAUACUUAUACUCUUUCAGUUCACUUGAAAGAAAUCAGGUCCGCAGGUUUGCUGUCUUACUUGAUGUCAGAUUUUGUGGAUUUAUUAUAACACUUAUGUUUCGGGCAGAAGCCUACUUAUGCAUGGCAAACCAAAGAGGGGGGGGAAACGAGGAUUACUGAAAUGAGUGGGUUUCCCUGCACACACUUCAGGGCAGAAGGGGGAGAUGGAGAGAACGCUGUGCCUUCUUCCCCCCCAAUUUGUCUUCCCUCCGUAAUCAUGACAGACAAGGUCCCACCUUCAGUGCCUGCCCGGAAGAGGAGCAGAACCCAUACUGAGAACGGUAGGAGCCAAAUUGUAUUGGGAUCCUCUGGGUUUGAGGGCUAAGGGGUUGGGAUGGGACCCCUGUCUCCUAAAGCAGUGCGUUUGUGCUAGGAUCAGUCUGUGGUUUCCUUCACCAACAGCAGUGUCAGAAUAAACAGGCUUCCUAAAAAGUAUAGUCUAUCCCCCAACCCUAAUUCCCCUAAGCCCUGGGUCAGGAAGACUUGUUUUGGGAUGCCCUGCAAUGCACACCUUCCCAUGUUCUAAUGCCGCAGCUGGGGGAAAAAAUCUCUUUAUGAGAUGUUUUCCCAAAUGAAAAUGAUAUUUCUAGGCAGAUGCACAAUAAGCUGGACAAUUUGUGGUUGGAAUAACGAGGGCAACAGAAAGCCUAGUUUCUAACUAGGGGUCAAAGGUCAGAAAAUAGGGAUGCGGGUGGUGCUGUGGGUUAAACCACAGAGCCUAGGACUUGCC